AACGAACGUUAGCGGUGUGAUUUAGGCAUGCAAGUCGCGCGUGAAAGCCUUCGGGUGAGUAAAGCGGCGAAAGGGUGAGUAACACGUAACCAACCUGCCCCCUGGACCGGAAUAACCACUGGAAACGGUGGCUAAUGCCGGAUGAGCCUGGUGGAUGGCAUCAUUUGCCUGGCAAACGGUGGCGCAAGCUGCUGCUAGGGGAGGGGGUUGCGGGCUAUCAGCUAGUUGGUGGGGUAAUGGCCUACCAAGGCGAUGACGGCUACCGGGUCUGAGAGGACGGUCCGGCACACUGGGACUGAGACACUGCCCAGACUCCUACGGGAGGCUGCAGUCGUGAAUUUUCCGCAAUGGGCGAAAGCCUGACGGAGCGACACCGCGUGCAGGAUGAAGGCCUUCGGGUUGUAAACUGCUGUCAGGUUCUAGGAACAAACCGGCGUUAACAGCGCCGGUACUGACCAAGACCAAAGGAAGCAGCGGCUAACUCUGUGC
rnacentral:rRNA from 1 species